rnacentral:rRNA from 1 species
AAGCAGAAACAAGUUGACGUAUUUAUCGAUAUAGACAUGGCAUUGAUUUAUUCAAGUGAAUCGAUUGUAGCUACGUUCGGAGGCAUGCAGAGUUCAUAUUCAGACGAAGAUAGGGAUCAGAACAUCAGAUCUGUGUAGUCAUCUAUAGACUAGCGACUAGGAUGGAUGAGAUUUCAUUCAGUCUAUGAAGAAUCAAAGUCUUGGUUCGGGGAGUAUGUCGCAGGCUGAGACUUAAAGAAAUGACGGAGGCACACAAGAGUGGAGGCGUGCGGCGUGAGUUUGACUCAACACGGGAACUACCAGUCCAGACGAAGAUAGAGGAAUGGACAGGAUGAUAGCUCUUCUGAUCUUGUGGUGGUGCAUGGCCUUUCUUGUGUGAUGAUUGUCUGGUAAUUCCGAUAACGAACGAGACCUUAACCUGCUGACUAGUCUUUCUAUUCCGAUAGACAUUGACUUCUUAGAGGGACUAUGUGCUCUAAGCACAAGAGAGAAAGAAGGCAAUAACAGGUCUGUGAUGCCCUUAUAUGUCCUGGGCUGCACGCGUGCUACACUGAUGCAUACAACAAGUGCCUAGCUAGACAUAGUAUGGCAAUCUGGAAUAUGCAUCGUGAUGGGGAUAGAUCUUUGCAAUUAUAGAUCUUGAACGAGGAGAUCCUAGUAAGUGCAAGUCAUCAUCUGCAUUGAUUAUGUCCCUGCCCUUGUACACACCGACCGUCGCUCCUACCGAUACCGGGUGAUCCGGGAACCUUUGGACCUAAUAG